GCACCUCCCGCAUGGCCCCUCCGGCCAGCCAGGCCCCCUCAGAUGAGAGCUGCACCCAGGCCAGUACCAGUCGUUCAGCCACCAGCAGCGGCACCCCCAUCUGUAGUUGGCUCUUCUGCUGCUGCGCCCCGGCAGCCAGGUCUGAUGGCCCAGAUGGCAACCACUGCAGCUGGCGUGGCUGUGGGCUCUGCUGUGGGUCACGCCAUUACUGGGGCUUUCAGGGGAGGAAGUAAUGCUGAGCCUGCGAGGCCUGACAUCACUUACCAGGAGCCUCAGGGAACCCAGCCGGCACAGCAGCAGCAGCCUUGCUUCUAUGAGAUC
rnacentral:lncRNA from 1 species